rnacentral:rRNA from 1 species
UGGGGAAUAUUGCGCAAUGGGGGCAACCCUGACGCAGCAACGCCGCGUGCGGGACGACGGCCUUCGGGUUGUAAACCGCUUUCAGCAGGGAAGAUAGUGACGGUACCAGCACAAGAAGCCCCGGCUAACUACGUGCCAGCAGCCGCGGUAAUACGUAGGGGGCGAGCGUUAUCCGGAUUCAUUGGGCGUAAAGCGCGCGCAGGCGGCUCUUCAAGCGGAACCUCUAACCCCGGGGCUCAACCUCGGGCCGGGUUCCGAACUGGAGGGCUCGAGUGCGGUAGAGGCAGGCGGAAUUCCCGGUGUAGCGGUGGAAUGCGCAGAUAUCGGGAAGAACACCGAUGGCGAAGGCAGCCUGCUGGGCCGGCACUGACGCUGAGGCGCGAAAGCUAGGGGAGCGAACAGG